rnacentral:rRNA from 1 species
AUUGAACGCUGGCGGCAGGCUUAACACAUGCAAGUCGAGCGGAGAUGAGGUGCUUGCACCUUAUCUUAGCGGCGGACGGGUGAGUAAUGCUUAGGAAUCUGCCUAUUAGUGGGGGACAACAUUCCGAAAGGAAUGCUAAUACCGCAUACGUCCUACGGGAGAAAGCAGGGGAUCUUCGGACCUUGCGCUAAUAGAUGAGCCUAAGUCGGAUUAGCUAGUUGGUGGGGUAAAGGCCUACCAAGGCGACGAUCUGUAGCGGGUCUGAGAGGAUGAUCGGCGACACCGGGACUGAAACACGGCCCAGGCUCCUACGGGAGGCAGCGGUGGGGAAUAUUGGACAAUGGGGGGAACCCUGAUCCGGCCAUGCCGCGUGUGUGAAGAAGGCCUUAUGGUUGUAAAGCACUUUAAGCGAGGAGGAGGCUACUGAGACUAAUACUCUUGGAUAGUGGACGUUACUCGCAGAAUAAGCACCGGCUAACUCUGUGCCAGCAGCCGCGGUAAGAC